AAGAUCACCAAGUAUAGAUCGUUUUGAUGUUGAUGUAGCUGAUAGAGCAUAAAGCUUGAUCCCCUCUGCCAGCUUUUCAUCUUGAUCACCAACCAAGUCAAUUGUCAAAGGAUUGUUCAAGUACUUCCUAGACAGUUUCUUUACCCAGCCAGGCAUGGUGGCUGAGAAAAGCAUGCUUUGCCUCUGUGGUGGAAGUUUUUCCAAAAUAACUUCCACAUCUUCCUCAAAUCCAACUGCGAGCAUUUGAUCAGCCUCGUCGAGGACCAAAUAUUCCACCUCCCCAAGUUUCAAGGUGUUAUUGUUUAUCAGGUCAAUAAGUCUACCUGGAGUUCCAACAACAACAUCAACCCCACGGGAAAGUGCAUUUUGCUGCGUAGCAUAAGAAACGCCUCCGUAUAUGCAGACUGUGUUCAAGUACGGUGCCGACUCUUUCAUUUCCUUCUCAACUUGAUUGGCUAACUCUCGAGUAGGUGCAAGUACCAAAACUUUGGGAAGCCGUCCCCGUCUCUGAGUAUUUCUCAUUUCUUCAUCUGUACUAAGCUUUUUCAAUACUGGAAUACCAAAGGCGAGUGUCUUCCCCGUCCCUGUCUUUGCACGAGCAAUUAUAUCCCGACCCUCCAGUGCAGGCACUAGAACAGCUCUCUGAAUUGGGAAAAGUUGAGUAAUUCCACGCUUCUCAAGAGCGUCAACAAGCCUGUGAGGUAAACCAAGUUUAGAAACAGAAAGUUCAUCCUCAUUUGACUCAUUAUCCUCAACCUCAUCCUCAGAAUCAUAUUCACUUUCACUAACAUUCAAAGAAUCCUUCCCAAAACCCCCAAUUCCUUUAAAGGCUUCUUCACUUAGCACCGAAGAAGUAGGAGUUACUACAGCAGAAGCCAGAAAAGGACGUCUGAGACGAACAUGAACAUGAAAAUUGGAUUUUUCAAUGGAGAAAGGAAGAGAUAGAGGAGGAGUAGCAGUGGGUCUUCGAGAAAGUUCGAGUGAAGGAUUGGUUUGGUAUAUGGAGGAAACUCCUAUAAUGGAAGAAGAAGAGGCCAUGGGAGAGAAGGGAUAAGGAGAUAGAUAGAAGUGAUGAU
rnacentral:misc_RNA from 1 species